CCCUCUUAAUGGAGCAAAUGCCAACUUGAUGACUUUCUUAUUUCUUGCCCUGCAUCCCUAGGUCUUUGGGAAAGGUGUGGGGGCUCUGGGGAGAUGCCUUGCUGGCCCCUGGACAUAGAGCCAGAACUGAAGAGUAGCUUGAAGGAAGCUCCCAGCUAACUAAUGUGAUUGUUAGAUGAGGUUUCAUGACUUAGAAGACAAAGAGGCCACUUAAAAAGAUUUCAUCCUGGAGAACAUAAAAAAGAAGAAUUGAAAAGUUGACUUAACCUGCUUGUCUUGGACUUCUCAUACUUGGUUAUUUAUAGAGAAAUUUAUGGAGAAAGCUGUGUUUGGCCCACGAGGCCAAGGUAGGCCAUGACAGACCAGUGGAAGGAGAUCUUCUUUCUAGCAUCUCAGCCUCAUUCUUAGUUUACAACAUUUUUCAGGUUUCCACAAGGACACCCAUUUUGGCAUUUAAUUCCUGCCUCAUGUCAAAAUAUUGUGAGUGACUCCAUCCCAUGCCUGCUGAUUUGAGAGUGAAGGCAUGCACGAGGAUUGGUAAACAUGCUUCCUUAGGAUUUGCAAUGGCUUAUUUCUACAUCCACACAUCAAUAUGGAUAUUAGUGUUCAUUUCACAAUGAGAAGAAAAAUUUAUAUUUCCAGA